rnacentral:rRNA from 1 species
UACGGAGGGUGCAAGCGUUAAUCGGAAUUACUGGGCGUAAAGGGUGCGUAGGUGGUACGAUAAGUUAUCUGUGAAAGCCCUGGGCUCAACCUGGGAAGGCCAGAUAAAACUGUUGAACUAGAGUAUGGGAGAGGGUAGUGGAAUUUCCGGUGUAGCGGUGAAAUGCGUAGAGAUCGGAAGGAACACCAGUGGCGAAGGCGGCUACCUGGCCUAAGACUGACACUGAGGAGCGAAAGCGUGGGGAGCGAACAGG